rnacentral:lncRNA from 1 species
AAGAACAUAAAUGUUUUGUUUGAUGAAUAUUAAUACAGCACCACUAUCAAAUUGGAACUUAUCAGUGAUAUAGCUCCAACAUGUGAGUUCCAUAGAUCACAUAACAACCAUCAAAGUAACAAGCUGUUUUAUAUGAUCGAUCAUACGAAACUGAAAUAACCUCCAAUUUUUUCAUUUUAUAAGAAAUCUUGUAUUAUGUGUUCAGUUUAAGCAGUCAAAUGGCGUAAGCAUUGAUGCUAAAUCAUAACGGGUAUAUUUAACAGAAUAAUCAUUACCAGAUGUUUUGAUACUAUCUGUCUUACAAAAAUGCAUAACCAAUAUGGAAGUAGGCAACCUUUGAGACCUAAAAUGAAACUACAAUUAUUGUUAACAGAUGAUAAUCUUUAAGAAUACAAAUGUUGCACAGAACGAGCAAAAAAGUUUAGUUGCCAUGUAAAACUCCUAUGCCCGCUCUAGAAAUGAAUUUAUCAGCAUAUUAUUUCAUCAAAAUUUUCCCUAUGAAUGGAAUAUACUUCAUAAGGACUAAU